rnacentral:rRNA from 1 species
AACGAACGCUGGCGGCAGGCUUAACACAUGCAAGUCGAGCGCCCCGCAAGGGGAGCGGCAGACGGGUGAGUAACGCGUGGGAAUCUACCCAUCUCUACGGAAUAACGCAUGGAAACGGGUGCUAAUACCGUAUACGUCCUUCGGGAGAAAGAUUUAUCGGCGAUGGAUGAGCCCGCGUUGGAUUAGCUAGUUGGUGGGGUAAAGGCCUACCAAGGCGACGAUCCAUAGCUGGUCUGAGAGGAUGAUCAGCCACACUGGGACGGAGACACGGCCCAGACUCCUACGGGAGGCAGCAGUGGGGAAUAUUGGACAAUGGGCGCAAGCCUGAUCCAGCCAUGCCGCGUGAGUGAUGAAGGCCCUAGGGUUGUAAAGCUCUUUCACCGGUGAAGAUAAUGACGGUAACCGGAGAAGAAGCCCCGGCUAACUUCGUGCCAGCCGCCGCCGUAACAC